rnacentral:rRNA from 1 species
UACGGAGGGGGCUAGCGUUGUUCGGAAUUACUGGGCGUAAAGCGCACGUAGGCGGGCUGAUAAGUCAGGGGUGAAAGCCCGGGGCUCAACCUCGGAACUGCCUUUGAUACUGUUAGUCUUGAGAUCGGGAGAGGUGAGUGGAAUUCCUAGUGUAGAGGUGAAAUUCGUAGAUAUUAGGAAGAACACCAGUGGCGAAGGCGGCUCACUGGCCCGAUACUGACGCUGAGGUGCGAAAGCGUGGGGAGCAAACAGG